rnacentral:rRNA from 2 species
GUGCGAGACCGAUAGCGAACAAGUACCGUGAGGGAAAGAUGAAAAGAACUUUGAAAAGAGAGUUAAAGAGUACCUGAAACUGCUGAAAGGGAACCGAGUCGUAUCUAGUGUCUAUAAUCUGUGGCAUAUUCCAUUGUCGAGUGAGUGCGUGCGGUGUUUUGGAAGUGGUUUACCGCUCCUAAUGCUGUUGUGCGUUUAUUUGGUGGUGCUCUGUGUCAUGGUGGGACGUCAGAGUCAGUUUGUAUGCUGCGGGAAAUGGCUGCCGGGAAGGUAGGUCGCUUCGGUGACUGUUAUAGCCUGGCGUGCUAGUUGUCGUGGUUGAGACUGAGGUGCCUA